rnacentral:rRNA from 1 species
UACGUAGGGUGCAAGCGUUAAUCGGAAUUACUGGGCGUAAAGCGUGCGCAGGCGGUUAUGUAAGACAGGUGUGAAAUCCCCGGGCUUAACCUGGGAACUGCAUUUGUGACUGCAUAGCUAGAGUACGGUAGAGGGGGAUGGAAUUCCGCGUGUAGCAGUGAAAUGCGUAGAGAUGCGGAGGAACACCGAUGGCGAAGGCAGCCCCCUGGGCUAACACUGACGCUCAGGCACGAAAGCGUGGGGAGCAAACAGG